rnacentral:lncRNA from 1 species
CUGGAGGAAAAAUUCUAGAAUGCAGUAGGUAUAUUAGUGACGUGGUGUAACAAAUCAAUCAAAAAUCUCCUUCUAGAAAUAUAUGUCACAUCAUGAUUAUAAAAAAGUAUUUUUAUUGUACUUUUGUUUGAAAAGAAGAAAGAUGAUUGGCUUGUUAUUGAUGACGUGGUGCAAGUGUGAUAGUGUAGAAUUUCUCCUACUGGAGAGCACAAAAAAGCGUAAAAUACAUUAUGGUUCUUACCUUGUGCUGGACAGGGUCUUGGACCAGUUCAACAACAUGGCAUAGAUAAUGUAGAGAUUUUUAAUUAGUUAAUGCACACAGUAUAAUAUAUUAUAUAUAAAUAUAAAUACGGUAAUAUAUUGACGAUUCAUAUGAAAUCCGUCAUUUGUAACCGAGAUUUAUAUAAAUAUAAGGUAGUACGGCAACAUAUUGCAUUGUUUUAUCGUUUGUUCUCUAUUUCAUUUUAUAUUUCAAAUUACAAUUUUUUACUUAGAAAUCAAAUUAUCUAAUUGAAAGUAUCAGAUGAAGGCUUUGUUUGGAUAUCAAAAUAAAUUAUUCGAUGAUAAUUUAUUCUGUAUGAAAAUUUUCUUUUGUAAUUAAUAAAUAGGGGUUCGAGUUUUGCUCUUUAAAAGAUUUUCGUCUGCUUUAUUUGAUAGAAUGCCAUAUUUCACUUAUAAAAUAAAUUGUAUUAUUUCAAAAAAUGAAUUGAAAUCCAAGUAUGCUAUUCUCUUAUUAACAUUUGACUAUACUGUUAGGUAUCGUUUGGUUCGGGGAUAAGCAAAAAGUGGUUAUUCUAGAGAUAGGUAUAAAUUGAGGUAUAAGCGGGGAUUAGAUCAAUUUUGCGUUUGGAUGAAAAUUAGGUUAUUCAUGAGAAUAAGAAAAAUAGCGUUUGGUUAGGUAAGAUGGAAUAAGAAGAAUAGUGGAUAGUUAUAAAUAAAAAAUAAUGAUAUUACCCUCUCAUUAUAUUUGAAUUUAAAUUUAAAAUUUAAAUAUUUUAAAUUUUAAAAUUUAAAUUUAAAUUUAUAAUUUUAAGUCUCAAAUUUAAAAAUUUAAAGUUACAAAUAUAAAAUAUCAAAUUUAAAAUUAUUAUUUACAGGGAAUAAAAAAUUUUGAAGUUUGAAUAUCUUUUGAAAAUGAAAAUGCUCCAUUUUAUCAAACUAUAUAAAUCGAUAACCUUUCCAGGUUUUUACCUCCUCAAUUCAAAAUUCCAACACCAGCAUGGCUUCAUCACCAUCCUCAUCCCUCUCCCCAUUCCUCCUCCAAACCCUCUCCACCAAGCCCUAACCCUCCCCCAUGGCUCCCACCACCACACCACCCACCUCUCCUCCGCCACCUCCUCCUCUCCUCCUCCUCCUCCUCCUCCUCCGCCAUGGGCGACCUCCGCCAACUCCACGCCCACGCCGUCGUCUCCGGGGCCAUGGGCGACCCCUCCGUCGCCUCGCGCCUCAUCUCCCUCGCCGCGGACGCCUCACUCCCCUACGCCCUCUCCAUCCUCGCACAAACCCCCUCCCCCGACCCCUUCGCCCUCAACGCCCUCCUCCGCGCCCACGCCCUUCGCCCCGACCCCUUCGGCGCCCUCCGCUUCUACGCCGACGCUCUCCGAUCCCCCGCCGCCGCCGAAUUCUCCUUCCCCAACCCGCGCACCUUCCCCAUUAUCCUAAAGGCGUGCUCUUUGGCCCCGGCGCUGCGAUUCGGCGAAAUGGUGCAUGCCCAGGUGGUCAAAGUGGGCUUGGGAUCUGCGGCUUCAGUACAAAACUUCUUGGUCUAUAUGUAUGCUUCUUGCGGUCGUAUAGAGUUGGCGAGGAUCGCCUUUGAUGCGAUUUCGGAGCUCAAUGCGGCCUCGAUGAACAUGAUGCUGGAUGCGUAUGUGAAGUGCGGGCAUUUGGGCGAUGCGCGGAAGGUGUUCGAUGAAAUGCCUGAGAGAGAUGUUUUGUGUUGGAGUGUGUUGAUUAAUGGGUAUGUUCAGGAUAGUCAUUUUAAAGAGGGUUUGGUUUUGUUUAGAGCGAUGUUGGGGGAGAAUAAAGAGCCCAAUGAAAGCAUAUUGGUGAACGUACUCUCCGCGUGCGCUCAUUUAGGGGCGAUCGAGCAGGGGAUGUGGGUCGAAGGGUAUGUUAAAAAGAAGAGCAUAAGGCUCAGUGUUCGCUUAGGUACUGCGCUUCUCGACAUGUAUUUAAAGUGUGGUUGUGUAGAAAAGGCUUUCGAAGUAUUUAGGACCAUGGAGGAGAGAAAUGUGACCACUUGGAGCGCGAUGAUCGGAGGGCUUGCGGUUAAUGGUCACGCUAAAGAUGCUUUGGGUUUAUUCUCGCAAAUGGAGUUCGAUGGAAUAAUACCAAAUGAAGUAACAUUUGUUGGUGUCUUGAAUUCUUGUAGCCAUUCCGGGCUAGUCGAAGAAGGAGAAAAGUACUUCAAUUCUAUGACAUCAUUGUAUGGAAUCAAACCAAAUAUUCACCAUUAUUGUUGUUUAGUUGAUCUUUACGGUCGAGCUGGGUUAUUAGAUAAAGCAGAGAAAGUGAUUAAGAAGACGCCGAUGAAGGCCAAUAGCGCGGUUUGGGGAGCUCUACUCAAUUCAUGCAAGAUUCACGGGAAUGCCGUGUUAGGCGAACGAGUAGGAAAGAAGCUUCUUGAACUGGAUCCGACAAACAGUGGGAGGUAUGUGCUGCUAUCAAAUAUAUAUGCAGUAAAUGGAAGAUGGGAAGAUGUAGCAGAGUUAAGGAGAUUGAUGAAGGAAAGAGGGGUAAAUAAAACACCAGGGAGUAGCUUUAUAGACCUAAGAGGUAGUGUUCACGAGUUCAUUGCGGGAGAUAAAAUUCACCCUCGUAGAAGAGAGAUAUACGCAAUGGUGGAUGAAAUGGGGAGAAAGCUACGAGCGGCGGGGUACCGACCCAACACCGACCAAGUGUUGAUUGAUAUGCAUGAGGAAGAGAAGGGCACCUCACUUCUCCACCACAGCGAGAAAUUGGCUCUUGCCUUUGGGUUGAUAUGUAGCGAUCUGGGUUCUGUAAUCAGGAUUACAAAGAACCUUCGUGUUUGUGACGAUUGCCACGAGGCGAUGAAGUUGGUAUCGAGGGUAUGCAAGCGAGAAAUUGUUGUGAGGGACCGAUGCCGGUUCCACCAUUUUAGGGAUGGUGCUUGUUCUUGCAAAGAUUAUUGGUGAUUUUAGGUGGAGUUGCAUCAUGACGAGAGGAAUUGAUCUUUCGAGAGCUUGGAUCAUUUGGUGUUCUAAUUGUGUAUGAACUGAUUAUCCAAUGACUAGAAAGAUUGCUCACCAACAUAGAACGCAAAUAACCAUGAUUACCGAGGUAAUGAGUAUGAGAAAGAGUUGUUAAGUUGCUUCCUGAUUCCUAAAUUGUUUUUCGUUUAAUUGAGCUCUGAUAAUUGACAAAUAUCUGUAAUUCAUCUGUUUGGCAGAUUACCAAGCCAAUAUAUUGGGGAACUCUGAGCUGAUAAAGAGAAGCUAUUUAGAAAUGGGUGCUGAGAAUCACCACAACCUAAGGUUUGUCUAAAUGAACAGGUUAUUGUGAGUAAAAUUUCCUUUUUUUUUGUUGUUGUUAUUGUUGUGAUAUUUCUGAAUAUUUAGUUUGCUUGCUUUGCAAUUACUUUAAGUGAACCAAAGGCUACUAUAAUAUAUUUACCUACAUAAUAACUGCAUAGUCCAAACAAUCUUCCUUGCCUCCUAAAAUUCUUAAGAUUGAAGUGUAGAGGAUGGUAUAUUUCCAAGAAAUAUAUCACAUUUCAGGCUCUCACUUCUGGUAUUAAUCUUACACUAUCUGUCACUAUAAGAUAGUUCCCAGGCACUUCAAGAUCAGUAGUUCUCUCUAUUUACUAAAUGGAUAGAUAUUCAGUUAAACAGAUAGAACUUGGAAGAAAUAUCGACAAAUGAAGAACAGAACAAAGAUAAGAUGCUUUGGGUUCAACCCAAAAACUUGUUACUGG